UAUUGCACAAUGGGCGCAAGCCUGAUGCAGCCAUGCCGCGUGUGUGAAGAAGGCCUUCGGGUUGUAAAGCUCUUUCAUCGAGGAGGAAGGCUUAAAGGUUAAUAACCUUUGUGAUUGACGUUACUCGCCCAAA
rnacentral:rRNA from 1 species